GAUGAACGCUGGCGGCGUGCUUAACACAUGCAAGUCGAACGGAAAGGCCAGUGCUUGCACUGGUACUCGAGUGGCGAACGGGUGAGUAACACGUGGGUGAUCUGCCCUGUACUUCGGGAUAAGCUUGGGAAACUGGGUCUAAUACCGGAUAGGACAACUUUUUGGAUAUUGUUGUGGAAAGCUUUUGCGGUAUGGGAUGAGCUCGCGGCCUAUCAGCUUGUUGGUGGGGUAAUGGCCUACCAAGGCGUCGACGGGUAGCCGGCCUGAGAGGGUGUACGGCCACAUUGGGACUGAGAUACGGACCAGACUCCUACGGGAGGCAGCAGUGGGGAAUAUUGCACAAUGGGCGCAAGCCUGAUGCAGCGACGCCGCGUGGGGGAUGAAGGCCUUCGGGUUGUAAACUCCUUUCGCUAGGGACGAAGCGUAAGUGACGGUACCUGGAGAAGAAGCACCGGCUAACUACGUG
rnacentral:rRNA from 1 species